rnacentral:rRNA from 1 species
GACGAACCGUGCAAACGUUAUUCGGAAUCACUGGGCUUAAAGGGCGCGUAGGCGGAAGGGCGCGUCGGCGUUGAAAUCCCCCGGCUCAACCGGGGAAGCGGCGUCGAAACGGCCGUUCUGGAGGGGCGUAGAGGGACUCGGAACUUCCGGUGGAGCGGUGAUAUGCGUUGAGAUCGGAAGGAACGCCCGUGGCGAAAGCGGAGUCCUGGACGCUUAAUGACGCUGAGGCGCGAAAGCCAGGGGAGCAAACGGG